UAAAGUUGAUUUAUUGACUCAUUACAUCAGAUGCCUUCAGGACAACAAAUAAUCUGAAACUUGUCUGAUCAUCCGGAUAAAGUUCCCAGAUCAUUAUGUCCACUGACAUUAAACAUCUAGGUCUUUUUCGAUAUUGAUUACUUUGCAGUUUCUACACACAUAAUGAGAUUGACCAUUUUGACACAUCCCUCCAGUGAGUUUGGUCAAACAACCAGCAUCGCUAUAGAACAUAACCAAGAUGAUGUCAAAGGAUUCUAUAGCUCACUGAUCUUCAGAAGUUUGACCCCUGCGUAUCCCUCUGCCUGCCCCUCACCCAGCACCCUGCAUGUUCUUCUCCCACGUGGCUAGAGCCUGCUAAAGGACUGAGAACUGGUCA